CAGGUUCCUCAGGGAUCUGGCUUGGGUCCGGGGCGGUCUGGCCUUGGUCCGUGGCGGUCUGGCCAGGGAAGGGGCUCCGGCCUGAAGGGCGGCCCAAAGGCUUCUCCUCAUCAAGCCGGGAGGUGGAUGCUGGUUGAACCCUCUUCUUUUUGAGGCCCUUCACCCGAAACCUCAGGUUCCCCAUGACCUGGGCCAGGGCCUUUGUGGGGGGGCUGUCUGGUAAACACACACACAAGCAGGUAAACACACACACACAAGCAGGUAGACACACACACAAGCAGGUAAACACACACACAAGCAGGUAAUAAUAAUAAUAAUAAUAAAUUAAAUUUAUAUAGCGCUUAAUAUAGUACUCUAAGACGCUUUACAUAUUGGCCUAUCAAAACUAUGUAAGACAGACUAGGAAUAAAAGAAAAACAGAGGUUAAACAUGAAGAAUAAGGUGGGAGUUAGGUGGGGAAGGCUAGUGUGAAAAGGUAUGUUUUGAGGGCAGAUGAUUUAUUUAUUUAUUUUUUUUUUUUUUCAAAGUGCAAACAUACAUUUACAGACACCACAUAACACGACAAAACCCAGAUAUGUGCGAUAGACAUGUAACAUAUACCAAAACAUAAAGAAUUAUACGGGGACAAGGACAGAUUACGAGAGGGUUUGGGGAGGUGUUUGUGAGAGGGAGUGUGCGUGCGUGCGUGCGUGCGUGCGUGCGUGCGUGCGUGCGUGCGCGGCCAGAUGCUUUCCUCCGGCAUCUCCGACCCCCAACGCGAUAGAGGUCCCACCCGAAGCACCCUAUCCCCCCUGAUGAACCCCCCCCUCCCCAGGGCAGCCGGCCCCCGGCCGUGGGAGGCCAGAGCAGCACAGAGGAGAGUUUCAGUCUGGUGAAAUUAGUUAAUAUGUGUAGGUUAUAGUUACAGAGAAAGGGAGAGAGAGUAAUUAAAUGAACUGAAUAAACAAAUAUGCAAAAAUGAAAGAGGGGGGUGGAUGGGCCUCAUCACAACCCUAUUGAUUGAUUAACAGUGGUAAUGGAGGUGAGGCCUAUUUGGUGGGAGUACUGGUAAGUGGAAUGCGAGGGCCGUGUCUCAGGCAGAGGGGGCCAGCGGAGCUAUGACUGUAGGAAGUUGGAAAGUGAGGGCCAGGUUGGGUUAUUACCAGUUGAGUUGUUUGAGAGUUCUAGUGAGAUGUGAUCUAAUAGUAGGUUUUUCCAGAUGGAAAUAUGAAUAUUAUUUUUUGAUUUCCAGUUUAUGAGGAUAGUCUUCUUGGCGACAGCUGGCGCAACCAACAAGGUUGUAUUGCUAAAGUGAUUUAGGUUGAUUGUAGUGGUAUCUCCAAGCAGACAGAGUGACGGGGAGGUUGGGAUGCAGCAGCCAAAGAACGUGGUGAGUAGCCCUGUGAUCUUUUCCCAGAAAUGUGUAAUAGGGGAGCAGUGCCAAAGUGCAUGAAUAUAGGUGUCCGGGCAAUUUUGGGUGCAAUGGGGGCAGAUGUCUGAAGUGAAACCCAUGCGAAAUGGUUUAUGUCCUGUGAGGUGAGUCCUGUGGAUAAUUUUAUAUUGUAUUAACUGUAGGUUUGUAUUUUUGGUCAUGAGAAAGGUAUUUUUGCAGAUUUGAGUCCAGAAAUUGGCAUCGGUAGAGAUAGAGAGAUCUGUUUCCCAUUUGGCAGAUGGUAGACUUGUCGUGGUGUCUGUCUGUAUCAUUAUUUUGUAGAUUUUGGAUAGUAAUUUUUUGGGCGAUGGUAUGUUAAUAAGCUGUGAGACAGGUGUAGGUAGAUCUAAAUUGGCUUUUGCUGUAUUCACGGUUGCUUUAAUUGCGGAAUUAAUCUGUAGAUAUUGUAAAAUGUGUUUGUGGGUGAUGCCGAAUUUCUGGACCAAGUCCGCGAAUGUGGAGAAUUUUACGUCGGUGAGCAAGUGUUGUAUAUGUGUAAUGCCUUUAUCUUUCCAGGAGUGGAGGUUUAGGGUUAUUUUAUUACAAGUGAAAUCAGGGUUAUUCCAAAUUGGGGAGAGUUUUGAGGGUGAGUGUUUUGAGUUAGUAAUGUGAGGGCAGAUUUGAAAGAAGAGAGGGUUGGAGAGACUUUGAUGUGGGAGGGGAGUGAAUUCCAAAGGGUGGGGGCAGCAACUGAGAAGGCCCGAUCACCCCAAGUCCGUCGCUCAGUCCGUGGAACUUGUAGCAGGUUGGCAGAAUUGGACCUGAGGAAUCGGGAGGGGGCGUGGUGAUGGAGGAGGUCGGCAAGGUAGGGGGGGGCUAGGCUGUUGAGGGCCUUGUAGGUGAUGAGUAAGACACACACAAGCAGGUAAACACACACACAAGCAGGUAGACACACACACAAGCAGGUAAACACACACACAAGCAGGUAAACACACACACAAGCAGGUAAACACACACACAAGCAGGUAAACACACACACACACAAGCAGGUAAACACACACACACAAGCAGGUAAACACACACACAAGCAGGUAAACACACACACACAAGCAGGUAAACACACACACAAGCAGGUAAACACAAUGCAGCCAGCUCACCAGGCACAUUGGCCUGGCUCAGGCCACCAAAGGGCCUGAGCCUUCUCCCUGGUGUUGGGGUUCUGUCAGAAAUGAACGACAGAACUGUGUUUAGUGACGACCAUAGUGGCUGCUGUGUGUUUGUUGCUGCUAUGGGGUCUGUUUUAGUGACGUGAGUGUGAGAGUCGCUCAGUCAAUGUUUUGUGAUUAUUCUGACGUAUAACACGCACACACACUUACACGCAUGCACACACACAUGCACACGCACACACGCACACAUGCACACACAUACAAGCAGCUACACACACACACACACACACACACGCAAGCAGGUAAACACACACACACACACGCAAGCAGGUAAAAACAACAAUGCGCGAACUCACCAGGUUCAUCUGCGUUCUGGUCUUGGUCCAGGGCGGUCUGGCCUUGGUCCGGGGCGGUCUGGCCUUGGUCCGGG
ensembl:lncRNA